AAGCAAUGAAUGUAUUCAUCGCAAAGAAUGGGACAUAUUGCCUCAACAAUCGCAUUUCGAUACAUGUUCUUCAGUAAUACUAAUACAAGAUCCUUGUCGUGCUGGUGUUGUUGGAGCACUGAUUUUAUAGCUCAGAGCAGUAAAAUUUAUUUGUGAUUUCGUAACGGCUUUUAUGAUGCAUGAAAAUGUUUAGAAUUGUUGCAUAUUGGGAACCAUAUCAUUAAUUGAAAAAACAUCUGACCAAGCAAAUAAUUUUUGUAAUUGAUCACAUUGUUUCAAUCAUGUGUUGCAAUGUCAUUCAAUUAAGGUUUUUAAAUGAGUUGAAAGUGUAUUAUUGG
rnacentral:lncRNA from 1 species